AAGUAUUAAAGGUCUCGCCUGCCCAGUGAAACUUUUUCAACGGCCGCGGUAUUCUAACCGUGCAAAGGUAGCGUAAUCACUUGUCUUCUAAAUAAAGACCUGUAUGAACGGCUAAAUGAGGACAAACCUGUCUCUUAUAACUAACCAGUGAAACUGAUCUCCCAGUACAAAAGCUGGAAUAACCACAUAAGACGAGAAGACCCUGUGGAGCUUAAAACAAACCACCAACUACACCCCAAUAGUGAAAUGUUUUUAGUUGGGGCGACUUCGGAAUAAAAUAUAACUUCCGAGCAUAGAACCACCAAUUCAAACUGAGGCCAACAAGCCAAAGUCUUAACUUGACCCGGCCCACGCCGAUCCAACGAACCAAGUUACCCCAGGGAUAACAGCGCUAUCUUCUUCAAGAGUCCCUAUCAACAAGAAGGUUUACGACCUCGAUGUUGGAUCAGGACACCCAAAUGGUGCAGCCGCUAUUAAAGGUUCGUUUGUUCAACGAUGACAGUCCU
rnacentral:rRNA from 1 species